rnacentral:lncRNA from 1 species
CUGUCUGUGGUCCCACUACACCUUCUGUAUGUUUGAUAUGAUAUCCAGAGCUUUGGUUAUGUGUUUCUGUACAUGCUUUGGAUAAGAAUGAUAUGAAUGCAACGUCAAAGACGACGUUUGAGCUUCUAUUUGGUAUUUGUUAUUGAUAUGCUCCGAAAUAUUCCAAACGCCAUUGAUAUGCUCCGGAACAUUUUAUACGCUACUGAUAAGCUCCGAAACAUUUCAUUUGUUAUUUAUAUGCUCCGAAAUGUUUCAUUCAUUGUUGAUAUGCUUCGAAAUGUUUCAUACGCCGUUGAUAUGCUACGGAACAUUUCAUAUGCC